rfam:Schistosoma margrebowiei strain Zambia genome assembly, scaffold: SMRZ_contig0002867
AUCUAGCUGAAGAGUUCCAAAUUAGACAAAACACAUGUUCUAGAU